UACGUAGGGGGCUAGCGUUGUCCGGAAUCAUUGGGCGUAAAGAGCGUGUAGGCGGCCCGGUAAGUCCGCUGUAAAAGUCAAAGGCUCAACCUUUGAAUGUCAGUGGAUACUGCCGGGCUAGAGUCCGGAAGAGGCGAGUGGAACUCCUGGUGUAGCGGUGGAAUGCGCAGGUAUCAGGAAGAACACCAACGGCGAAGGCAGCUCGCUGGGACGGUACUGACGCUGAGACGCGAAAGCGUGGGGAGCGAACAGG
rnacentral:rRNA from 1 species